UUACGGCCAUAUGACGUUGGAGCACUAGAUCUCGUAAGGUCACCGAAGUUAAGCAAAGUUGAGUCUAAUCAGUAUCUAGAUGGGUGACCGCUUGGGAAUACCAGAUGCUGUAAG